AAAAAAUUAGUUAAAAUCUUAUAACAUUAGUAUGUCAAACUAAAAUUAUUAUAAUUAUAAUAUUUUUUG
rnacentral:tRNA from 1 species